AAGGCAUAGCGGCGUGCUAUACAUGCAGUCGAACGAGUUCUCGUUGAUGAUCGGUGCUUGCACCGAGAUUCAACAUGGAACGAGUGGCGGACGGGUGAGUAACACGUGGGUAACCUGCCCUUAAGUGGGGGAUAACAUUUGGAAACAGAUGCUAAUACCGCAUAGAUCCAAGAACCGCAUGGUUCUUGGCUGAAAGAUGGCGUAAGCUAUCGCUUUUGGAUGGACCCGCGGCGUAUUAGCUAGUUGGUGAGGUAAUGGCUCACCAAGGCGAUGAUACGUAGCCGAACUGAGAGGUUGAUCGGCCACAUUGGGACUGAGACACGGCCCAAACUCCUACGGGAGGCAGCAGUAGGGAAUCUUCCACAAUGGACGCAAGUCUGAUGGAGCAACGCCGCGUGAGUGAAGAAGGCUUUCGGGUCGUAAAACUCUGUUGUUGGAGAAGAAUGGUCGGCAGAGUAACUGUUGUCGGCGUGACGGUAUCCAACCAGAAAGCCACGGCUAACUACGUGCCAGCAGCCGCGGUAAUACGUAGGUGGCAAGCGUUAUCCGGAUUUAUUGGGCGUAAAGCGAGCGCAGGCGGUUUUUUAAGUCUGAUGUGAAAGCCCUCGGCUUAACCGAGGAAGCGCAUCGGAAACUGGGAAACUUGAGUGCAGAAGAGGACAGUGGAACUCCAUGUGUAGCGGUGAAAUGCGUAGAUAUAUGGAAGAACACCAGUGGCGAAGGCGGCUGUCUGGUCUGUAACUGACGCUGAGGCUCGAAAGCAUGGGUAGCGAACAGGAUUAGAUACCCUGGUAGUCCAUGCCGUAAACGAUGAAUGCUAGGUGUUGGAGGGUUUCCGCCCUUCAGUGCCGCAGCUAACGCAUUAAGCAUUCCGCCUGGGGAGUACGACCGCAAGGUUGAAACUCAAAGGAAUUGACGGGGGCCCGCACAAGCGGUGGAGCAUGUGGUUUAAUUCGAAGCAACGCGAAGAACCUUACCAGGUCUUGACAUCUUUUGAUCACCUGAGAGAUCAGGUUUCCCCUUCGGGGGCAAAAUGACAGGUGGUGCAUGGUUGUCGUCAGCUCGUGUCGUGAGAUGUUGGGUUAAGUCCCGCAACGAGCGCAACCCUUAUGACUAGUUGCCAGCAUUUAGUUGGGCACUCUAGUAAGACUGCCGGUGACAAACCGGAGGAAGGUGGGGAUGACGUCAAAUCAUCAUGCCCCUUAUGACCUGGGCUACACACGUGCUACAAUGGAUGGUACAACGAGUUGCGAGACCGCGAGGUCAAGCUAAUCUCUUAAAGCCAUUCUCAGUUCGGACUGUAGGCUGCAACUCGCCUACACGAAGUCGGAAUCGCUAGUAAUCGCGGAUCAGCACGCCGCGGUGAAUACGUUCCCGGGCCUUGUACACACCGCCCGUCACACCAUGAGAGUUUGUAACACCCGAAGCCGGUGGCGUAACCCUUUUAGGGAGCGAGCCGUCUAAGGUGGACAAAGAUGUUAUAU
rnacentral:rRNA from 1 species